rnacentral:rRNA from 1 species
CCUACGGGAGGCUGCAGUGAGGAAUAUUGGUCAAUGGGCGUAAGCCUGAACCAGCCAAGUCGCGUGAGGGAUGAAGGUUCUAUGGAUCGUAAACCUCUUUUGUCAGGGAAUAAAGUGUGGGACGUGUCCUUUUUCGUAUGUACCUUAUGAAUAAGGAUCGGCUAACUCCGUGCCAGCAGCCGCGGUAAUACGGAGGAUCCGAGCGUUAUCCGGAUUUAUUGGGUUUAAAGGGUGCGUAGGCGGCCUUUUAAGUCAGCGGUGAAAGGCUGUGGCUCAACCCUAGAAUUGCCGUUGAAACUGGGUGGCUUGAGUAGUUGUGAGGCAGGCGGAAUGCGUGGUGUAGCGGUGAAAUGCUUAGAUAUCGCGCAGAACCCCGAUUGCGAAGGCAGCCUGCCAGGCC